UACGUAGGGGGCAAGCGUUGUCCGGAUUUAUUGGGCGUAAAGAGCUCGUAGGCGGUCUGUCGCGUCUGCUGUGAAAACCUGGGGCUUAACCCCGGGCCUGCAGUGGGUACGGGCAGACUAGAGUGCGGUAGGGGAGACUGGAAUUCCUGGUGUAGCGGUGAAAUGCGCAGAUAUCAGGAGGAACACCGGUGGCGAAGGCGGGUCUCUGGGCCGUAACUGACGCUGAGGCGCGAGAGCGUGGGGAGCAAACAGG
rnacentral:rRNA from 1 species